GAAUGAUUCAAUAUCUGGCUUUUCCACAUCUCGCUACAAGUACCCUCAGGGAACAACAGAGACAAGUAAGAGCUCCCAUUCUAACCCUUCCUCGUAAUGUUUGUUCAGGUUUCAAGCUGUACUAUGUAUCUUUGCAUGAUGGAGGGCCCAGACGGCCUACAAGAAGUACUCAUCUGAGGAUUUUAGGUACUCAAAAACACUGAAAGAUGGCAUCAUGAAACUGCACUCAGUUCUAAGCACAUGUCAACACACUUAUUAAGAUGCAGCUUUCAGAAAUGAAUAGCAGUGGUACUUAAAACUUAGUCCAAUUAUUACUUUUACAUUAUAGAAAUGCAAUUUAUUUUAAUUAUGGAGCCACUCAGAGUCUGUAUUUUAGCUGAGCAGAUGGACCUAAUGCUUGGAGAAAAGCUGUACAGGUUAUAAAAGGUCACAAAUAAACACUUGAGUGUCUCUUUUUUUGUCUUCGCAAAAAUCUAAUUGUACAAAUGUGUUAGUGCAGUUGUAUCUUAGUCUUAACUGUAGAGUGAGAUAACAGCUGAAGCUGCUCUUUCAUCUGGAGCCACCCGUAGUCAAUAGUUCUCAUGACUUUUUGAAGGUAUUUAAAGCUUCUUUUUUUUUUUUUUUAGACACUGGCUGAUUUUUCACUCAUUUUCAAUCCAAUCCUUGCACCCAACCAUUUUUAAAAUAUUUUAUUUGUUACUAGUUUGGAAGCCAUUAAAUAGUAUUUUUUGGACCAAAGCUGACAUUUCCCAUAUAAAUACUAAUUGAAAGCUUGACAUAUCUCGACAUGGUGUGCAAUUUUAUCUUAAUGUCUCUGGCUUUUCAGUUGUAUUCAUGUUCCUUCGCAGCUGCAGUGUUGUCAUACGGCCAAGGUAUGGGUUGUUCUUGAAAUUUUUAUCCCUUUGUUCUUAAAGAGCGGAGCAGCUUUAAGAUUAUGCCAGCAGAUUAAACCGAAUUGAUCACAGCUUCAAUGCCACUACUCAACACAGGCUUUGAAGUAGUGUUGGCAGCCGUCUAAAAAAAAAGAGCCUCUUGUGAUUUUGCUGUCAGAUGUAGACUUAAAAUGCAGGUGUACAGAGGCUGAGAGCAUAUAAGGAACAAAACAUUAAAACAAAAGAUUAAAAAGAAGAGCCAAAAGUAAACAAAAAUGACAUGAGAGAAAAUUUUCUCUCACAAGUGCAGACUAUAAGCAGCGAUUUGGUGAUUUGAGGCCAAAAAAAAUGUGUCUAAAUAAAAAGUAAUGAUUUUAAACUCACUGAAUCUACCUAUGUUUUUCUCCAUACUGAAUUAAAGUUAUGUAAACACACUGAACAGAAC
ensembl:lncRNA